rnacentral:rRNA from 1 species
GAUGAACGCUGGCGGCGUGCUUAACACAUGCAAGUCGAACGGAAAGGCCCUGCUCUUGCGGGGUGCUCGAGUGGCGAACGGGUGAGUAACACGUGAGUAACCUGCCCUUGACAUUGGGAUAACUUCAGGAAAAUGGGGCUAAUAUCGGAUAGGAGCUCCUGCUGCACGGUGGGGGUUGGUAAGUUUCGGCGGUUGGGGAUGGACUCGCGGCUUAUCAGCUUGUUGGUGGGGUAGUGGCUGACCAAGGCUUUGACGGGUAGCCGGCCUGAGAGGGUGACCGGCCACAUUGGUCCUGAGGUACGGCCCAGACUCCUACGGGAGGCAACAGUGGGAAGUUUUGCACAAUGGGCGGACGCCUGAUGCAGCAACGCCGCGUGCGGGAUGACGUCCUUCGGGUUGUAAACCGCUUUCGCCUGUGACGAAGCGUGAGUGACGGUAAUGGGUAAAGAAGCACCGGCUAACUACGUG